rnacentral:rRNA from 1 species
GACGAACGCUGGCGGCGUGCUUAACACAUGCAAGUCGAACGGAGAAGCGCCGUCCUUGUUGGUGUGUGUUGAUGAGCGGCGAACGGGGGAGUAACACGUGAGUAACCUUCCCCCUUCUUCUUGAUAACCGCAUGAAAGUGUGGCUACUACGUGAUAUUCUGGGUCUGUCGCAUGAUUGGUCUGGGAAAGAUUUUGUUUCGGUGAGGGAUGGGCUCGCGGCCUAUCAGCUUGUUGGUGGGGUGAUGGCCUACCAAGGCGGUGACGAGUAGCCGGCCUGAGAGGGUCGACGGCACCAGAGGUACUGCGCCAUCCAGCAGCCUACUACGGGCGGCAGUAGUGGAGAAUCUGGAACAAUGGGCAGCAGGCUGAUGCAGCGCCGCGUCGUUGGGGAUGGACUCCUGCGCGUUAUGAACUUCUUUUGGCAGUGAAGAAGGCCUGCCUUGUCUGUGCGUGGGUUGACGGUAGCUGGAUAAGAAGCGCCGGCUAACUACGUG